UGAAACAGAACGGUGAUAUGUUAAGAGCGCAAUGUGCUGCUGACAGAUGGAGAGCAGCCAGAAAUGAUGUGAGACAGCGGGUGGAAAAUUGUGCAAUCCCUGGAAAUUGAGCAGAAAUUGAGCAGCGAAGCACGGCUGCUCCCGUGACCCGUGAGCCAUGUAGCCACAUAGGAUCAGGGCCACCUCAGACAAAAGCCUAACAACCAGACAGCAAGAGAAAUCAGCCCUUGGAGUGCACACCACUUCUCUGUCUGAAGCUGCAGAUGCAAGUCAAUGAUUCUUUGGAGCAUGUCACCAAAUGACCCUAAUUAAUAGCCUGUGAACGAGGUCACUCUAUUUUUUUUUUUUUUGUCUCUCCCCCCAAGCUCCUGAAUCUGAAGCAGAGGAAGGAAGGAACAAGGGAGGAAGAAGCAACACACUAACCUUUAAUAUGUGAGAAGCAAAAUGGCUGCGUACCAGCUCUAUCUCUACAAUUUUCUCUUUUCAUUGAGGAAAAGUACUAUUUCAUUCAUGCCAUUUCCGUUCAUUCAUCAGCUGGGGCCAGCCUAGACUCACAGUGCCAUCUCCACACCAACAUUCUUAUCAAUGGAAGUGACGUCAGCACUGCCUGCAGCUGGGGGGUGGUGGUGGGGGUGGUCACGUGGUUCAGUCAGGGGUAUAUACAAUAAAGUUGCGCUGACAGUGGAGCUGAAAACAUUCACUCAAUUGUACAUUAGCGCCAGGGCUGCUGCCAUACAAACACACCACACCACUAAAUAAAGAUCCGACAGUUUGAUUUUUUUUUCUGUCUUGAUGUUGGUCACAGGCUGAAGAGAGAGGGGGGAAAAACAGAAAUUCUCUCAGGUGAUCCACCAUUCAUGAAAUAAUCUUGGCUUUACCCGCGCUGUGAGUUUCACCACUUCCCCACCCCCCAGUGGGACUCCAGGUGCUUAACCUCCCUCCUGCCAGUUCUGCAUGGUCAUGAC